CUGUGAGUGACUGUGUGUGUGUGUGUGUCUGUGUCUGUGAGUGACUGUGUGACAGUGUGUGUGUCUGUGAGUGACAGUGUGUGUGUCUGUGAGUGACAGUGUGUGUCUGUGUGUGUGUCUGUGAGUGACAGUGUGUGUGUGUCUGUGAGUGACUGUGUGUGUGUGUCUGUGAGUGACAGUGUGUGUCUGUGUGUGUGUGUCUGUGGAGUGAUGUGUGUGUGUGU